rnacentral:rRNA from 1 species
GUCUACCAACCAAACAUCUACCCCAAGCACAAAGCCGAUGCUGACCCGACGCCAUGCCACAGCGUCCCUACCGCAAGCAGCAGAGAAAGUAUGACACGGCUUUGGCACUGGUUUCCUUCGCUUCCCUUUCAGCAAUUUCAGGUACUCUUUAACUCUCUUUUCAAAGUUCUUUGCAUCUUUCCCUCACGGUACUUGUUCGCUAUCGGUCUCUCCCCGAUAUUUAGCUUUAGAUGGAGUCUACCACCCACUUUGAGCAGCAAUCCCAAACUACUCGACUCUUGGAGCGUGUAUCACAAAGCACGGUACUUCCAUGGCAAGUACGGGAUUUUCACCCUCUACGAUGCCCUGUUCCAAGGGACUUGUCCAUAGAGCCGCACGGAAAACACGUCUCGAGAUUACAACGCGGACGCCGAAGACGCCAGCUUUCAAAUUUGAGCUCU